CAUGAGCUAAAAUAUUUGUAGCUCAACCCAUUAAUCACUAGGCAAAUUAGGCGAGUUAGAUGGAUUUGAGCUCAAAUUGUCACCCCCUAGAUUUAAUGAAUUAUUAACUGUUAAACUAUUUAAUAACUAAAACAAUAGUCUCUCCUUCUGUCAUAUGACCACCACAAACCAAAAGCAGAUUCAGGUUUUUAAGUCUGUGAAUAUAGUACUUUCAACCACUACCCCUUCCCGAUAAUAGAUGUGAAUUUAAUAUAAAUAUGAAUCCACAUCAUGAAACUAACAAUUUCUGGUUAACAAACAUCUACAUAAACUAAAAAGUAUUCCGAUUGAAGAUAAAUGAGAAUGCUCGUUACCAUGGGCUUUGGGACGCCAAGAAACGUCUGAUUUGGAGACUGGCUUGAAAUUGAGGAGCUUCCAUUGUCGAUUGAAGGUUACCAAUUGAGCAGCUUAAGUGGUGGGGAACUAUUUUUUUCGCAUUAACGGAUAAGAAAGAAACAAAAGGUGGUAGCGCGUUUGGACCAUUUAGCCACUGUUUGGCAAUCGAUUUGCAAAUUU
rnacentral:lncRNA from 1 species